ACAUCCAACACCCUAUCUUUUCUGUUUCAAUGGAAGUCAAUGAACUAAGUAGACUACACACAGCUGCUAUCGCAUUGGUGUCCAUGGGAGCGCCACCCCCUUAAUUGACCGGAACUUAAUUAUUUUCAGCUGCAAAAGGCCUGAGUGAACUAUCUUCAUUUAUCUGCCAUCUUUCACUACAAAUCGGUCCACAUGGCAGUGAUACUGCUGUUUUCAACUAAAUGUACGUGUGCGACGAGGAGCGAGGACUGAUGGUAAAGGCAGAUUACCUAUUCGCCGUCGGAUCCUUACAAGGCACCCAGACCUACGUUCCCAAUAUCGCCAUCUCUUUCUCCUAUGAAUGACGAGGAUCAGGGACUUGUCGGACGUCUGAAGUAAAUCCUUCGCGUCCGACUUAUUCAAGAAAAAAAUCUUCCUGUACAGGGAGCAGUCACAGACAUCUCCAUGAUAUCAGAAUCUGACAGUGGUCUCUUCUACAGCCCAUUGUUGAGAGCCUCCCUGAUGCCACAGACGCUGUCCUGCACUGUUCCUACCAGAUCAUCUCCUGCCCAACAUCAGCCAGGAGCUGCCC